rnacentral:rRNA from 1 species
UCYGGUUGAUCCUGCCRGACCCGACUGCUAUCAGAGUGAGAUUAAGCCAUGCGAGUCAACGUAGCAAUACGUGGCACACGGCUCAGUAACACGUAGUCAACAUAACCAAAGGACGUGGAUAAACUCGGGAAACUGAGGCUAAACCGCGAUAGACCAAGAUACCUGGAAUGGUUUUUGAUUAAAAUCUAUAUGGCCUUUGGAUUGGACUGCGACCGAUCAGGCUGUUGGUGAGGUAAUGGCCCACCAAACCUGUAACCGGUACGGGCUCUGAGAGGAGGAGCCCGGAGAUGGGUACUGAGACAAGGACCCAGGCCCUAUGGGGCGCAGCAGGCGCGAAACCUCUGCAAUAGGCGAAAGCCUGACAGGGUUACUCUGAGUGACUUUCGCUAAGAAAGUCUUUUGACACCUCUAAAAAUGGUGUAGAAUAAGGGGUGGGCAAGUCUGGUGUCAGCCGCCGCGGUAAUACCAGCACCCCGAGUGGUCGGGACGAUUAUUGGGCCUAAAGCAUCCGUAGCCGGUUUUACAAGUCCUCCGUUAAAUCCAACUGCUUAACAGAUGGGCCGCGGAGGAUACUAUAAGACUAGGAGGCAGGAGAGGCAAGCGGUACUCAGUGGGUAGGGGUAAAAUCCGUUGAUCCAUUGAAGACCACCAGUGGCGAAGGCGGCUUGCCAGAAUGCGCUCGACGGUGAGGGAUGAAAGCUGGGGGAGCAAACCGGAUUAGAUACCCGGGUAGUCCCAGCUGUAAACGAUGCAGACUCGGUGAUGGACUAGCUUCAUGCUAGUCCAGUGCCGCAGGGAAGCCGUUAAGUCUGCCGCCUGGGUAGUACGGUCGCAAGACUGAAGCUUAAAGGAAUUGGCGGGGGAGCACCACAAGGGGUGAAGCCUGCGGUUCAAUUGGABUCAACGCCGGR